rnacentral:rRNA from 1 species
UACGUAGGGAGCAAGCGUUGUUCGGAUUUACUGGGCGUAAAGGGCGCGUAGGCGGCAUAUUAAGUCAUCUGUGAAAUCUCCGAGCUUAACUCGGAACUGUCAGCUGAUACUGAUGUGCUAGAGUGCGGAAGGGGCAAUCGGAAUUCUUGGUGUAGCGGUGAAAUGCGUAGAUAUUGGGAGGAACACCAGUGGCGAAGGCGGCUCACUGGACCGGAACUGACGCUGAGGCGCGAAAGCGUGGGGAGCAAACGGG